rnacentral:rRNA from 1 species
AUUGAACGCUGGCGGCAGGCUUAACACAUGCAAGUCGAGCGGAGAUGAGGUGCUUGCACCUUAUCUUAGCGGCGGACGGGUGAGUAAUGCUUAGGAAUCUGCCUAUUAGUGGGGGACAACAUUCCGAAAGGAAUGCUAAUACCGCAUACGUCCUACGGGAGAAAGCAGGGGAUCUUCGGACCUUGCGCUAAUAGAUGAGUCUAAGUGGGAUUAGCUAGUUGGUGGGGUAAAGGCCUACCAAGGCGACGAUCUGUAGCGGGUCUGAGAGGAUGAUCCGCCACACUGGGACUGAGACACGGCCCAGACUCCUACGGGAGGCAGCAGUGGGGAAUAUUGGACAAUGGGGGGAACCCUGAUCCAGCCAUGCCGCGUGUGUGAAGAAGGCCUUAUGGUUGUAAAGCACUUUAAGCGAGGAGGAGGCUACUGAGACUAAUACUCUUGGAUAGUGGACGUUACUCGCAGAAUAAGCACCGGCUAACUCUGUGCCAGCCGCCGCAGUAACAC